AGUGCAGGUACUACUUUUAGGAUUUCGAGAAAAAGAAAAUAAAAAGAAAAGAAAAAAGAAAAAGGAAAAUGUUUUUGAUUAUUUAAAGGAAAAAAAAAAAAAAAAGAGAAAAAGGAUGGAUGUAUUAACGUUUGGAAUCAUAAUGGGGAUAAUCGUACUCUUCUUAUGUGCGGUUUGUUACAUAACCAUUGAAGGCACUUGCAAGCGCCGCCAUUCUUAAUUGUCUUUUUCAAAACCCUAAUAUUUACCAAUUUUUCUUUCUUUUCUUUCUUGUCUUCAAAAAUGGAGUUUCGUGAAAAACAGAAACAGAUUUUAUUUUGUUUUUUAUUACUGGUUUUACUCUUUUUUAUCGAUCUAUGUUUUGCUUCUACUGGACAAUGUAUAUCACCGGCGCAUCAUGAUUCCCAUGGACACGACCAUCAUCACCACCACCAUCAUGAUCAUGAUCAUGAUAAUCACCGGAUUGAGUCCAAGCUUCCAGAGGAAUUGGCGGAGGAAGAGGAUAUGAAGCUUUAUGGAUUUAGUAACUACCAUCAUCAUCACCAUGAUCAUGAUCAUGAUCAUGGUCACAGUCACAGUCCUUACCACCAUGAUUUGAAGCUCACUGGUCUAGCUCUUUGGUCACAUGCAUUAGGUUGCUCACUUUUGGUGAGCUUGGCUUCACUUAUCUGUCUGAUUAUCUUGCCAGUCAUAUUCAUACAAGGAAAACCAUCAAAGGCAGUUGUUGAUUCAUUGGCUUUAUUCGGGGCAGGAGCUAUGUUAGGGGAUGCUUUCCUUCAUCAAUUACCACAUGCAUUUGGUGGUGACCACUCCCACUCUCAUGAUCACGGUGCAGACCAUUCUCAUCAUGCCCAUGCUGAACAUGGGCAUUCACAUGCCCAUUCUUUGAAAGAUCUCUCUGUUGGAUUAUCAGUCUUAGCUGGCAUUGUACUUUUUCUUAUUGUGGAGAAGGUGGUUAGAUAUGUUGAAGGUAACUCUACUGGAGCUUAUGCAUGGAAUCAUGGUCAUCACCACCACCAUCGUAAGAGCAGCAAGAAGUUGAAAGAUGAUGAUGAUGCUAAUGAUGUGAUUCCAUCUCAACCUCUGAAAGAAAUUGAAGGAAAAGGGUCAGAUGAAAUUUCAGACAACUCCUUGAAUGGGGAUAGUAAUUCAACAGAACAGGAAUCUCUUCUUCGGAAGAGAAAGACUACCAUUGAUGGCAAAAAAGAUAUAUCAGAUAUCGAUGGUACAGAUGGCUCUACUACUAAUAAAUCAUUGAUUGAGAAGGAAACUGCUCAGGCACCAUCGAAUUUGGUGUUUGGUUAUCUAAAUCUUUUUUCUGAUGGUGUUCACAACUUUACUGAUGGAAUGGCUUUAGGAAGUGCAUUUCUGCUCUAUGGAUCUGUUGGUGGAUGGUCUAGGACUCUAUUUUUGCUUGCGCAUGAGCUUCCACAGGAGAAACUCAUCCAACAAGGGCAUAAUGGCAGAAAUUUUGGUCGUCUUUCAAGAAAUAGGAGAUUUUGGUAUUUUGGUUAGGUCUGGUUUUAGCGUGUCUAAAGCCCUCUUUUUCAACUUCCUCUCAGCAUUGGUGGCUCUAGCAGGAACUGCAUUGGCUUUGCUCUGGGGACAAGAUCCAGGACAGUCAUCUUUGAUUGAGGGAUUUACAGCAGGUGGAUUCAUAUACAUUUCUGUUGCUGGAGUGCUUGCAGAAAUGAACAAUAGCAGCUCAACGUUUAGAAGUUCUGCUGUCCACAUAACUUCAAUGGUACUAGGCAUGGCGGUUGCCCUCUGUAUCUCGCUUGCAGAAUGAAGCUGUACUUUAGAUCUAUGCAACGCUAGCCCAAAAUUUCAACUAAAAACGUACAGGGAUCAGAGGCUCAUGUCCGUUUAUAACCUUAUAGAUGAUCUCGUUUUCUUUGGUACUAGGAAUUCAUGGUGUCCCUUGUACAAUGAAAGUGCACAGUUAAACUCUGUAAUUGUAGGCAAAUUGAAAUGCAGCAAUAUAAAAGAUCUUGAAAUGUCAUUUUUCCA